rnacentral:lncRNA from 11 species
GAACACUGAACAAAAUACAUCAGUGGGAAGGUGCCCGGGAUGAGGACACCCAGAAAGUGAGCAACAUGGAAAAGGAAGGCGUUGUUUCUUGUCUUUCUCAAACAUGAUCACUUCUGCUACCUUGGGCAGAUGUGACCGUGAAUCCCCAAAGACCAGCAGAUAAAAACUCUUCCUGGAGAUCGCUGGAAGCACCUUCUACAUUAUUGAGCAGAGGAAGCAGACCUGAGCAGCCCUCGGGCAAAAACAGUGUAUCAGUCCCUGUGCCAUCAGGCAUUGUGUUACCUGUCCAGAUGCAGUAAGCUCAUUUUCUUUUGGAAUAUUUUUGUUAGAAACUGUAA